rnacentral:rRNA from 1 species
CGCGUAGGCGGUCUGUCCAGUUAGGCGUGAAAGGCCUGGGCUUAACCCAGGAAUGGCGCUUAAUACUGACGGGCUUGAGAUUGGAAGAGGAGAGUGGAAUUCCCAGUGUAGAGGUGAAAUUCGUAGAUAUUGGGAAGAACACCGGUGGCGAAGGCGGCUCUCUGGUCCACAUCUGACGCUGAGGCGCGAAAGCGUGGGGAGCAAACAGGAUUAGAUACCCUGGUAGUCCACGCCGUAAACGAUGGGUACUAAGUGUCGGCGGGUUACCGCCGGUGCCGCACCUAACGGAGUAAGUACCCCGCCUGGGGAGUACGGCCGCAAGGUUGAA